rnacentral:lncRNA from 1 species
ACCCCCAAGGGGUAAACAAUUACUACAAAAUGAAACAGGGAAAAUAAUGACAAAUAAUCUGGAACACAAGCCAAUCAAAUAAAAUAUGAUCACAACAAAUCCAUGGGAAUAUUAUACGCUGCAUGCAUGCUGUAAUAUCUCAAGGGCUAGUGGUUGAUGGGGGUGGAGAAAAGAAAGGAAUGGAUGGAAUAGUUGUAGGAAUAUUGAUGCUUGGAAUGGUUGGGAGUGAUGCCGGC